GUCAGUGUUUUUAACGCAAAGGGUCCACCCGUUCCCAUUCCGAACACGGAAGUUAAGCUUUGCAGUGCCGAAAAUACUUGGCUGGCGACGGCCCGGAAAAAUAGGUCAAUGCUGACA
rnacentral:rRNA from 1 species